AGGCUACUCUAUCGCUGUUGGGGAAUUCAGCGGUGAUCAGGUGGAAGAUUUCGUGGCCGGCGUUCCAAAAGGACUCAAGCUUUAUGGAUUGGUGUCGAUUCUGAACGGUACCGAUCUGAAGACCAUCAUGAACUUCACAGGCGAACAGG